AACGAACGCUGGCGGCAGGCCUAACACAUGCAAGUCGAACGCCCUAGCAAUAGGGAGUGGCAGACGGGUGAGUAACACGUGGGAACAUACCCUUUGGUUUGGGAUAACUCAGGGAAACUUGAGCUAAUACCGGAUAAGCCCGAGAGGGGAAAGAUUUAUCGCCGAAGGAUUGGCCCGCGUCCGAUUAGCUAGUUGGUGAGGUAAAGGCUCACCAAGGCGACGAUCCUUAGCUGGUCCGAGAGGAUGAUCAGCCACACUGGGACUGAGACACGGCCCAGACUCCUACGGGAGGCAGCAGUGGGGAAUAUUGGACAAUGGGCGAAAGCCUGAUCCAGCAAUGCCGCGUGAGUGAUGAAGGCCUUAGGGUUGUAAAGCUCUUUUACCGGGAUGAUAAUGACAGUACCGGGAGAAUAAGCCCCGGCUAACUCCGUGCCAGCAGCCG
rnacentral:rRNA from 1 species